AUCCAACUGACGUGUCUCAAAUAGGACGAAGUGUCGUACAUCGUGGAU
rfam:Schistosoma margrebowiei strain Zambia genome assembly, scaffold: SMRZ_contig0000459